ACAAGCUUCACCAAGUGGAGAUAGAGGCAUAGUUUCGCCAUCAGAUGAUAUACCCAUUAAUACAAGAGAGGGAACCUCAGCUUCUUUUUGAAGAGGAUAUAAUGCAGAAACUAAUGACUUCAGAUUCGGCCGCUCACGAGGCUCAUACUGGAGACAUCUCGAAGCAAUCCGUACCAAUUCAGUUCCGUCAUCAGUAGAAAAUUGACCCUCCAAGCAAGAAUCAGUUAGCAUCUCAAGAUUCCG
rnacentral:misc_RNA from 1 species